UGGGGAAUUUUGGACAAUGGGGGCAACCCUGAUCCAGCCAUGCCGCGUGAGUGAUGAAGGCCUUAGGGUUGUAAACUGCUUUUGUACGGAACGAAACGGCUCUGGUUAAUACCUGGGGCUAAUGACGGUACCGUAAGAAUAAGCACCGGCUAACUACGUGCCAGCAGCCGCGGUAAUACGUAGGGUGCGAGCGUUAAUCGGAACUACUGGGCGUAAAGCGUGCGCAGGCGGUUAUAUAAGACAGAUGUGAAAUCCCCGGGCUCAACCUGGGACCUGCAUUUGUGACUGUAUAGCUAGAGUACGGUAGAGGGGGAUGGAAUUCCGCGUGUAGCAGUGAAAUGCGUAGAUAUGCGGAGGAACACCGAUGGCGAAGGCAAUCCCCUGGACCUGUACUGACGCUCAUGCACGAAAGCGUGGGGAGCAAACA
rnacentral:rRNA from 1 species